rnacentral:rRNA from 1 species
GAUGAACGCUGGCGGCGUGCCUAAUACAUGCAAGUCGAGCGAACAGAUGAGGAGCUUGCUCCUCUGACGUUAGCGGCGGACGGGUGAGUAACACGUGGAUAACCUACCUAUCAGACUGGGAUAACUUCGGGAAACCGGCGCUAAUACCGGAUAAUAUAUUGAACCGCAUGGUUCAAUAGUGAAAGACGGUUUUGCUGUCACUUAUAGAUGGAUCCGCGCCGCAUUAGCUAGUUGGUAAGGUAACGGCUUACCAAGGCAACGAUGCGUAGCCGACCUGAGAGGGUGAUCGGCCACACUGGAACUGAGACACGGUCCAGACUCCUACGGGAGGCAGCAGUAGGGAAUCUGCCGCAAUGGGCGAAAGCCUGACGGAGCAACGGCGCGUGAGUGAUGAAGGUCUUCGGAUCGUAAAACUCUGUUAUUAGGGAAGAACAAAUGUGUAAGUAACUAUGCACGUCUUAACGGUACCUAAUCAGAAAGCCACGGCUAACUACGUG